UCUGGUGGUGAGGAGACUGUGUACUGCGAUUAAACGUGACAUGCCUAUUGCAGUCUAACAUAUAUGGGCUAUUCAAUUCAUGUUUAUUAAUUAUAUUUCUGGAAGCUCUCACUGUGACAAAAGGAUGAUGCGUGAGGUACCACAGAGACUCUAAAGCAGAGCUAAAGGGAAUUGGAGCAAACCGAAGAAGGUUGUCCAGCUGCUGAUAGAGUAGGUGUAAAGGAGAGUCCUAGAGGGGGAGAACCUCCUUUGCGCUCACUCGGCUCACACUGAAUGGAGCGCAUCACGAUAUCCCCACUUAUACAUCUUCUCAAUGGUUCUCCCUACCUGACCUUACCCACGACUUCCACUAGGGGUCCUUGUGCUCUGUUGCAAAUCAGUCCUGAGAGCUGCAGUAUUAUGGCCAGUCAGUGUGCUCAGGGCCAGAUAGCAGCAAAUCUGUUAGAAGUGUCCUGAGGAUCACACAGAAAUAGAAAGAGCCAUUUGUGCAUCAGACUAGCAUGCAACGUAAUCUGGGUUGGCGAAUCAGUCUGAAUUGAAUCAGCUCGGAUCACUUACUCACUCACUGAACCGAAGGUUAUCAUAACCUGAAAUGAGCUGAGGACCAUUAUGUGUUCAUUUUGAAAUACAAAUUUGCAUGAUUAGGGCAACAGUUUUGUUACUAUAAAUGGUAUAUUAAUUUUAACACCAUGUAUAAAAAAGCAUUAA